CCGCACAACCGUACAGGAUAGCCGCACAACCAUACAGGAUAGCCGCACAACCACUUAGGAUAGCCGCACAACCACUUAGGAUAGCCGCACAACCACUUCGGCAGCCGUGACAUUAUCAUGUUUUCAUUAAAAAAAUGGCUACCAAGCGGAUGCCAUGCGAUGACUCUGGCCAGUGUAUUCGAAAAGUUUAACAACUGUAGCUAACCAUUUGUUUAAUGUUCAACGGAAGCUGUUGUAUUUAAACUUUUAAAGAAAUAAGGGUUACUAAUUUUUAAUCACAGAUUACACUUCUGGUAGCUUUAAUCUUCUGUUAAGUAUUUGCAGCUGUGAUGGGAAGAUCUGUCUGGAUAUAUGCAAAAUAUCAAAUGUCUUCUGCUGAUAAUUUAUGAUAGCUAGCUAGCUGGCUAGCUAACUAUAUAUAUUUAUAGAUUUAUUUUUUUCUUGAACUUUAUUGAAAGUAGCUAGGUAGGUAGCUAGCUAGCUAUCGCUACAUAUACAAUAAUUUAGCUAGCUAUAGCUAGCUGUAACAGUUUGAUUAUAGUUGCAGAAUUAUAAGUUAUUCCUUACCACAAACUUAUUUCUGAAGCUGAAAAUUAUUGCUGUAAAAAUUUUGAGAUUUCUUGAUCAGGAAAUCUUUCUGAAAGUUUUUUUGAUUAAACAUGAAAAUGAAUGCGGGCUAGCUAGCUAUUUAAGGGCUGAAAAUUAAGAGCUCAACUCUCAUGAUAAUUGCAUGAAAAAUGCUUGUAAAAUUUUAAAAACAUUAGCAAAUUUUUUUGAUGAUUUCAGUAUUUCGGGGACCAUGCACUAUUGCUGCAGAAACCAUAAAAGCUAAAACUUUUUCCUUUUUGGAUAGUAUUUUUUUCUCUAUAUAAAAUAAUAUCCACUUCUGUACGGGUUAACAAAUAAAAAAGGUGUGUGUGUGUGUGUAUCAGUAUACUUGAUAUCAGUAUAUAUUUGAUUAGUUUGGCCAAACUCUCUUGUUAUCCAUUAUAUAUAAAUUAAAAUGGAUAAAUAAAUAUGGCACAGCUAAUAAUAAACAAAGUGGGAAAAGUAAUCUUUCCCUGAUGCUUCUGUAUAUAGCUAUAAAUUUUAAAAAUAUUUUGAGCAUUCUAUGCGCAAAGUGCUCAAGCUAAAGUUUUUAUGCGCAACAACUUAUGAAUAAAGUUAAAAUGAAUCUUCCUAAAUUUGAAGCAUCAAAAUGAAGUAUAAUGUAACAGGUAUAUAUACCUGAAAUUGAUCUAUGUUUAGAUUAUUUUUUAAAUUUUUUGUUAUUUUUAUAACUUCCAAGUGUCAACUUGACUCUAGUUCAUUUGUGGUUUAUUUUUCUAAGAUUUUAAGUUACAAAAGAGCCCGUAAUGUAUAUGUAAAGUAUAUUUUUUUACUGUAUAUACUUCGGUGUUAUGUUUGGUGUGGUAAAGUAAAAAUUUUUUAUCUGAAGUUUGACAAAAGUAUUCUUGGGCAGUUGAUAUGUACAUUUAAGAUGUAAUAACCAAUAUUUAUAGGCAUUGAUGUGGACUAGAUAUAUGACAUUUAGACAAGAUGGUAGACAGAGACACAGGACAUAUAAUAAAAAAAUAUGGAAAUAUUUAAUGUAAAGAUGACACAAUAACAUAUAGAAAACAUAUAGAAAAAAUUCAAGCUAUGUUCUAUAACUAUUAUUUAAUCUUGUUUUUACUGACACAGCGUUGUUAAAAGUGUGCAGUGAAAGUAAAUUUUGUGUUUGGGUGGAUAUUUUUAUGUUGAUGACAAAGCUCAAUCUUUUUGUUAAAGUUUAAACUUAGGAAAAAUAAAAACCAUGAUGUUAAACUUGGAAUGGUGUGUUUUAAAAUCGUGUGACGAUAUUCCCCCAAAAUAUUUAUUAUAUAUACCUAUCAUUAUAAUUAUCGAGUUCUUUAAUUUAGGCAUUUUAAGAGAAACCGUAUUAAUUUCAACCAAAUGUUUACAUCAAGAUCAAUUAAAAUAAGCCAAGUAUAUAUGGUUUUAAUAAAAUUUGUUAACAGAUUUGUUCAACCCCACUCCCUACCCCUUUCACAUAAAUGUUUCGAAUUAAGAAACAUUUUUUGUCACUUUUCUCCAACUCUGGGGCAUCUUAAUACCUUGUAUAUUGUAAAUAUACAUAAAGUCAUUGUUAGGGAUUUUGUGUUUGCCAUUAUUGGUGAUGCAGCAGAGACUUGAGGAAUAUUUAGGGUUGGACGAGAUGCUCGAUAAUAAGCACAAAUCCUGUUUAUCGUUUUUGGAGUCCAGUAAGCCACAAUUUUUUAAAGCUUUUCGCAAAAUAAUAUAAUGUACAUUUAAGGUAAUGCUAUCGCUCCAAAACAUUUUUUACUGUGAACCUGACAAAAAUGUUUUGUUGAGAAAUAAUAUAACUACUUAAACAUUACAAUAUAUAUAAUCCCUAAUCCCUAAAACACGAGUAUUUCGACUGGAAUGGAUUCUUUUGUUUUUAUACAUAGUAUGGUAUUUGACUUUAUUUGAGAGCUCUCAAUUUAGUAGUAUUGAAAAUAUAAAUAACAAUGAUGUGAGGAACAUGUAAAGAUAUGUAAUAAUUAAAUAGAGAAAUUACUCAUUUUUUAAAUCAUAUGGAGUUUGGGUUAUAUACAGUUAACAUAAAGUGUGACCUUAUUAUGUAAAGAGCUAUGAUUUCAAACUUGUUCAAGAACUAAAUAAUCUUUAUGAUAUAAUGUUUUAUAGUUUUAGACUGACACAAAAAUUAUCAGUAGUAGGGAAGCUUUCAACAACAACAUGCUGAAGGUUAGACAGAAAAGUCACAAAUAGGUUGAUUGUCAUUGAAAUUAAGUAUGGGAACUGGACAAAAUACAAUUACUGUAGAAAAUUGUGAUACACUGGAUUAGCAUUGGUUCAGACUUUGGCGGCUUGUUUACGACAGCACAAAAUUAACGAUAGUACAGAGAAGCACACAUAAUUCAUAUAUGGAGUGCUGCAUUGUUACAGUAAUGUGUUCAAGUUGGAUGAAAAUGACACUGUUGAUUAGUGCUCUGUAAUUAACCCUAAUAUUAAUUGGAAUAAUAUAUAUUCUUCUUUUUUUA